AGUUGUUGCGGUUAAAAAGCUCGUAGUUGGAUUUCUGCCGAGGACGACCGGUCCACCCUCUGGGUGAGCAUCUGGUUCGACCUGGGCAUCUUCUUGGAGAACGUUCCUGCACUUGAUUGGGUGGGGCGGUAUCCAGGACUUUUACUUUGAGGAAAUUAGAGUGUUUCAAGCAGGCACACGCCUUGAAUACAUUAGCAUGGAAUAAUAAGAUAGGACCUCGGUUCUAUUUUGUUGGUCUCUA
rnacentral:rRNA from 1 species